AAGUCGUAACAAGGUUUCCGUAGGUGAACCUGCGGAAGGAUCAUUACAGAGAACUUGCCCUUCGGGGUAGAUCUCCCACCCUUUGUUUAUUCACUAUGUUGCUUUGGCGGGCCCGUCUCGCGACCGCCGGCUUCGGCUGGCCUGCGCCCGCCAGAGGACCUCAAACUCGAAUUUAAUGUCGUCAGAGUAUUAUACAAUAGUUAAAACUUUCAACAACGGAUCUCUUGGUUCUGGCAUCGAUGAAGAACGCAGCGAAAUGCGAUAAGUAAUGUGAAUUGCAGAAUUCAGUGAAUCAUCGAAUCUUUGAACGCACAUNGCGCCCUCUGGUAUUCCGGGGGGCAUGCCUGUUCGAGCGUCAUUACAACCCUCAAGCUCUGCUUGGUAUUGGGCGCCACCCUUUGGGUGCGCCUCAAAAUCAGUGGCGAUGCCGUCCGGCUUCAAGCGUAGUAAUUUUCUCGCUCUGGAGCUCCGGCGCGUGUCCGCCAGCAACCCCAAAUCAUCAAAGGUUGACCUCGGAUCAGGUAAGGAUACCCGCUGAACUUA
rnacentral:rRNA from 1 species